AGAGUUUGAUCAUGGCUCAGGAUAAACGCUGGCGGCGUGCCUAACACAUGCAAGUCGAACGCCUUUGCGCAAGCAAGGGAGUGGCGGACGGGUGAGUAAGACGUGGGUUAUCUGCCUUUCGGUGAGGAAUACCGGCGAGAAAUCGCCGACAAAACCGCAUAGGCUCCGGGAGACCGGAGCAAAGUCGCAAGACGCCGGAAGAUGAGCCUGCGGCCGAUUAGCUAGUUGGUGGGGUAAAGGCCUACCAAAGCGACGAUCGGUAGCUGGUCUGAGAGGACGAUCAGCCACACUGGGAUUGAGAACGGCCCAGACUCCUACGGGGGGCAGCAGUGAGGAAUUUUCGUCAAUGGGGGAAACCCUGAACGAGCAACGCCGCGUGCAGGAAGACGGUUUUCGGAUCGUAAACUGCUUUUCUGUGGGAAGAGAAUGGACGGUACCACAGGAAGAAGCCCCGGCUAACUACGUGCCAGCAGCCGCGGUAAUACGUAGGGGGCGAGCGUUGUCCGGAGUUACUGGGCGUAAAGGGCGCGCAGGCGGUUGGGUAAGUUUGGAGUGACAGUGCUCGGCUUAACUGAGCAAGGACUCUGAAAACUGUUCAACUUGAGGACCAGAGAGGGACAUAGAAUUCCGGGUGGAGUGGUGAAAUGCGUAGAUAUCCGGAGGAAUACCAAAGGCGAAGGCAGUGUCCUGGCUGGUAACUGACGCUCAGGCGCGAAAGCUAGGGGAGCGAACAGGAUUAGAUACCCUAGUAGUCC
rnacentral:rRNA from 1 species